rnacentral:rRNA from 1 species
AGUGAACGCUGGCGGUAGGCCUAACACAUGCAAGUCGAACGGCAGCACAGUAAGAGCUUGCUCUUACGGGUGGCGAGUGGCGGACGGGUGAGGAAUACAUCGGAAUCUACUUUUUCGUGGGGGAUAACGUAGGGAAACUUACGCUAAUACCGCAUACGACCUACGGGUGAAAGCAGGGGAUCUUCGGACCUUGCGCGAUUGAAUGAGCCGAUGUCGGAUUAGCUAGUUGGCGGGGUAAAGGCCCACCAAGGCGACGAUCCGUAGCUGGUCUGAGAGGAUGAUCAGCCACACUGGAACUGAGACACGGUCCAGACUCCUACGGGAGGCAGCAGUGGGGAAUAUUGGACAAUGGGCGCAAGCCUGAUCCAGCCAUACCGCGUGGGUGAAGAAGGCCUUCGGGUUGUAAAGCCCUUUUGUUGGGAAAGAAAUCCAGCCGGCUAAUACCUGGUUGGGAUGACGGUACCCAAAGAAUAAGCACCGGCUAACUUCGUGCCAGCCGCCGCCGUAA